UACAGAGGGUGCGAGCGUUAAUCGGAUAUACUGGGCGUAAGGCGCACGUAGGCGGCGCCGUAAGUCAGGGGUGAAAUCCCGGAGCUCAACUCCGGAACUGCCCUUGAAACUGCAGUGCUAGAAUCUUGGAGAGGCGAGUGGAAUUCCGAGUGUAGAGGUGAAAUUCGUAGAUAUUCGGAAGAACACCAGUGGCGAAGGCGACUCGCUGGACAAGUAUUGACGCUGAGGUGCGAAAGCGUGGGGAGCAAACAGG
rnacentral:rRNA from 1 species